rnacentral:rRNA from 1 species
GUGUGAGGCGCGUGAGGGCUGUCGCUGACUUUUAUGCAAAGUUGUGCACGCCGGAGCGUGUCCUUUCACAUAAAAUCCAACUCACCCUUUUGUGCACCACCGCGUGGGUGCCCUCUGGGAUCGAACCGAUCCAGGAGGGGGCUCGCGUUUUCACACAAACCCCCUUUAAAAAGUGUAGAAUGACCCCAUUUUGCGAUGACACGCAAUCAAUACAACUUUCAACAACGGAUCUCUUGGCUCUCGCAUCGAUGAAGAACGCAGCGAAAUGCGAUACGUAAUGUGAAUUGCAGAAUUCAGUGAAUCAUCGAAUCUUUGAACGCACCUUGCGCCCCUUGGUAUUCCGAGGGGCACACCCGUUUGAGUGUCGUGAAAAUCUCAACCUUCUCGGUUUUCUUCUGGACACCGAAGGAGGCUUGGACUUUGGAGGCCUUUGCUGGUGUCUCUCUCUUUUUUUGAGAGCCAGCUCCUCUUAAAUGAAUUAGCGGGGUCCUCUUUGCCGAUCCUCGACGCGUGAUAAGAUGUUUCCAUGUCUUGGUUUCUGGCUCUGUUGCCUUUGGGACCUGCUUCUAACCGUCUCGACGAGACAAUGUCGGG